AACGCGAAGAACCUUACCUGGGCUCGAAAUGGAGUGGACCGGAGUAGAAAUAUUCCUUCCCCGCAAGGGGCUGCUCUAUAGGUGCUGCAUGGCUGUCGUCAGCUCGUGUCGUGAGAUGUUGGGUUAAGUCCCGCAACGAGCGCAACCCUUAUUACCAGUUGCCAUCAUUAAGUUGGGCACUCAGGUGAGACCGCCUCGGAUAACGGGGAGGAAGGCGGGGAUGACGUCAAGUCCUCAUGGCCUUUAUGUCCAGGGCUACACACGUGCUACAAUGGCCGGUACAAACCGUCGCAAACCCGUGAGGGGGAGCUAAUCGGAAAAAGCCGGCCUCAGUUCGGAUUGGAGUCUGCAACUCGACUCCAUGAAGCUGGAAUCGCUAGUAAUCGCGGAUCAGAACGCCGCGGUGAAUACGUUCCCGGGCCUUGUA
rnacentral:rRNA from 1 species